AACUACUUAGCUAAAAUAAGCAUUUGUUUUGAAAACUUAAAAUAGGGUUACUUAGUAGUUU
rnacentral:tRNA from 1 species